AACGGCCGCGGUAUAUUGACUGUGCAAAGGUAGCAUAAUCAUUAGUCUUUUAAUAGGAGGCUGGUAUGAAGGGUUUAACGAGGUGUUGACUGUCUCAUUUAAUUUAAUAUUAAAAUUUAACUUUUCAGUCAAAAGGCUGAAAUAUUAUUGGGGGACGAGAAGACCCUAUAGAGCUUUAUAGCUUACGUUAUAAUUAAUUUUGGAUAUAUAAUUGUUAUUUAUGGCUUUGGCUAUUUUGUUGGGGUGACAAAAAUAUAUAAUUAACUUUUUGAUUUAUAUAACAUUGAUUUAUGUUUAUUAGAUCCAUUCAUUAUUGAUUGUUAGAACAAGUUACCUUAGGGAUAACAGCGUAAUCUUCCUCUAGAGUUCAUAUUCACGGGGAGGCUUGCGACCUCGAUGUUGGAUUAAGAUAAUAAUUAGGUGCAUCCGCUUAAUGAAUAGGUCUGUUCGAC
rnacentral:rRNA from 1 species